AGUGAACGCUGGCGGUAGGCCUAACACAUGCAAGUCGAACGGCAGCACAGUAAGAGCUUGCUCUUACGGGUGGCGAGUGGCGGACGGGUGAGGAAUACAUCGGAAUCUACUUUUUCGUGGGGGAUAACGUAGGGAAACUUACGCUAAUACCGCAUACGACCUACGGGUGAAAGCAGGGGAUCUUCGGACCUUGCGCGACUGAAUGAGCCGAUGUCGGAUUAGCUAGUUGGCGGGGUAAAGGCCCACCAAGGCGACGAUCCGUAGCUGGUCUGAGAGGAUGAUCAGCCACACUGGAACUGAGACACGGUCCAGACUCCUACGGGAGGCAGCAGUGGGGAAUAUUGGACAAUGGGCGCAAGCCUGAUCCAGCCAUGCCGCGUGGGUGAAGAAGGCCUUCGGGUUGUAAAGCCCUUUUGUUGGGAAAGAAAAGCAGCAGGUUAAUACCCCGCUGUUCUGACGGUACCCAAAGAAUAAGCACCGGCUAACUUCGUG
rnacentral:rRNA from 1 species